rnacentral:rRNA from 1 species
AGUGGGAGCACAGGUUUACCUGUGUGACUGCGUACCUUUUGUAUAAUGGGUCAGCGACUUAUAUUCUGUAGCAAGGUUAACCGAAUAGGGGAGCCGGAGGGAAACCGAGUCUUAAUUGGGCGUUAAGUUGCAGGGUAUAGACCCGAAACCCGGUGAUCUAGCCAUGGGCAGGUUGAAGGUUGGGUAACACUAACUGGAGGACCGAACCGACUAAUGUUGAAAAAUUAGCGGAUGACCUGUGGCUGGGGGUGAAAGGCCAAUCAAACCGGGAGAUAGCUGGUUCUCCCCGAAAGCUAUUUAGGUAGCGCCUCGUGAAUUCAUCUCCGGGGGUAGAGCACUGUUUCGGCUAGGGGGCCAUCCCGGCUUACCAACCCGAUGCAAACUGCGAAUACCGGAGAAUGUUAUCACGGGAGACACACGGCGGGUGCUAACGUCCGUCGUGAAGAGGGAAACAACCCAGACCGCCAGCUAAGGUCCCAAAGUCAUGGUUAAGUGGGAAACGAUGUGGGAAGGCCCAGACAGCCAGGAUGUUGGCUUAGAAGCAGCCAUCAUUUAAAGAAAGCGUAAUAGCUCACUGGUCGAGUCGGCCUGCGCGGAAGAUGUAACGGGGCUAAACCAUGCACCGAAGCUGCGGCAGCGACACUCAGGUGUUGUUGGGUAGGGGAGCGUUCUGUAAGCCUGUGAAGGUGGCCUGUGAGGGUUGCUGGAGGUAUCAGAAGUGCGAAUGCUGACAUAAGUAACGAUAAAGCGGGUGAAAAGCCCGCUCGCCGGAAGACCAAGGGUUCCUGUCCAACGUUAAUCGGGGCAGGGUGAGUCGACCCCUAAGGCGAGGCCGAAAGGCGUAGUCGAUGGGAAACGGGUUAAUAUUCCCGUACUUGGUGUUACUGCGAAGGGGGGACGGAGAAGGCUAUGUUGGCCGGGCGACGGUUGUCCCGGUUUAAGCGUGUAGGUGUGUGUUCCAGGUAAAUCCGGUUCACUUUAACACUGAGGCGUGAUGACGAGGCACUACGGUGCUGAAGCAACAAAUGCCCUGCUUCCAGGAAAAGCCUCUAAGCAUCAGGUAACAUCAAAUCGUACCCCAAACCGACACAGGUGGUCAGGUAGAGAAUACCAAGGCGCUUGAGAGAACUCGGGUGAAGGAACUAGGCAAAAUGGUGCCGUAACUUCGGGAGAAGGCACGCUGACAUGUAGGUGAAGUGAUUUACUCAUGGAGCUGAAGUCAGUCGAAGAUACCAGCUGGCUGCAACUGUUUAUUAAAAACACAGCACUGUGCAAACACGAAAGUGGACGUAUACGGUGUGACGCCUGCCCGGUGCCGGAAGGUUAAUUGAUGGGGUCAGCGCAAGCGAAGCUCCUGAUCGAAGCCCCGGUAAACGGCGGCCGUAACUAUAACGGUCCUAAGGUAGCGAAAUUCCUUGUCGGGUAAGUUCCGACCUGCACGAAUGGCGUAAUGAUGGCCAGGCUGUCUCCACCCGAGACUCAGUGAAAUUGAACUCGCUGUGAAGAUGCAGUGUACCCGCGGCAAGACGGAAAGACCCCGUGAACCUUUACUAUAGCUUGACACUGAACAUUGAGCCUUGAUGUGUAGGAUAGGUGGGAGGCUUUGAAGUGUGGACGCCAGUCUGCAUGGAGCCGACCUUGAAAUACCACCCUUUAAUGUUUGAUGUUCUAACGUGGACCCGUUAUCCGGGUUGCGGACAGUGUCUGGUGGGUAGUUUGACUGGGGCGGUCUCCUCCUAAAGAGUAACGGAGGAGCACGAAGGUUGGCUAAUCCUGGUCGGACAUCAGGAGGUUAGUGCAAUGGCAUAAGCCAGCUUGACUGCGAGCGUGACGGCGCGAGCAGGUGCGAAAGCAGGUCAUAGUGAUCCGGUGGUUCUGAAUGGAAGGGCCAUCGCUCAACGGAUAAAAGGUACUCCGGGGAUAACAGGCUGAUACCGCCCAAGAGUUCAUAUCGACGGCGGUGUUUGGCACCUCGAUGUCGGCUCAUCACAUCCUGGGGCUGAAGUAGGUCCCAAGGGUAUGGCUGUUCGCCAUUUAAAGUGGUACGCGAGCUGGGUUUAGAACGUCGUGAGACAGUUCGGUCCCUAUCUGCCGUGGGCGCUGGAGAACUGAGGGGGGCUGCUCCUAGUACGAGAGGACCGGAGUGGACGCAUCACUGGUGUUCGGGUUGUCAUGCCAAUGGCACUGCCCGGUAGCUAAAUGCGGAAGAGAUAAGUGCUGAAAGCAUCUAAGCACGAAACUUGCCCCGAGAUGAGUUCUCCCUGAGACUUAAAGUCUCCUGAAGGAACGUUGAAGACGACGACGUUGAUAGGCCGGGUGUGUAAGCGCAGCGAUGCGUUGAGCUAACCGGUACUAAUGAACCGUGAGGCUUAACC